AACGAACGUUGGCGGCGUGGAUUAGGCAUGCAAGUCGAACGCGAAUCCCUGGGCAACUGGGGAGGAGAGUGGCGAAAGGGGCAGUAAGGCGUGGGUAACCUACCCUCCGGGCCGGGAUAGCUUCGGGAAACUGAAGGUAAUACCGGGCGACGCAGCGAGAUCGCAUGGUCUUGCUGCCAAAGGUCCGCCGCCGGGGGAGGGGCUCACGUGGUAUUAGCUAGACGGCGGGGUAACGGCCCACCGUGGCAAAGAUGCCUAGCAGGUGUGAGAGCACGACCUGCGCCACUGGAACUGAGACACUGGCCAGACACCUACGGGUGGCUGCAGUCGAGGAUCUUCGGCAAUGGGCGCAAGCCUGACCGAGCGACGCCGCGUGUGCGAUGAAGGCCUUCGGGUUGUAAAGCACUGUCGAGGGGGAGGAAGCCGCAAGGUUGACCUAUCCCUGGAGGAAGCACGGGCUAAGUUCGUG
rnacentral:rRNA from 1 species